AUUGAACGCUGGCGGCAUGCUUUACACAUGCAAGUCGAACGGUAACAGGCCUUCGGGUGCUGACGAGUGGCGAACGGGUGAGUAAUGCAUCGGAACGUGCCCAAUCGUGGGGGAUAACGUAGCGAAAGUUACGCUAAUACCGCAUAAGCCCUGAGGGGGAAAGCAGGGGAUCGCAAGACCUUGCGCGAAUGGAGCGGCCGAUGUCAGAUUAGCUAGUUGGUGGGGCAAAGGCCUACCAAGGCGACGAUCUGUAGCGGGUCUGAGAGGAUGAUCCGCCACACUGGGACUGAGACACGGCCCAGACUCCUACGGGAGGCAGCAGUGGGGAAUUUUGGACAAUGGGCGCAAGCCUGAUCCAGCCAUGCCGCGUGCGGGACGAAGGCCUCGGUGUAACGUCUUACUACGCGGAACGAAAGUAACGACCAACGGACGU
rnacentral:rRNA from 1 species